AAACCAUGUAUCAGACAUUUUCUAAUCAAUUCCUUGAAUCACUCCCAAGCUUCAUACAAUGUCUCAUCUUCAGAUUGUCGAGAAGAUGUAAUAUCGUUCCUCAAUUC
rfam:Gossypium raimondii Chr12_contig_27, whole genome shotgun sequence.